GACGACGCUGGCGGCGUGGAUUAGGCAUGCAAGUCGAACGGUAUCAUCCUUUCGGGGGUGAGAGAGUGGCGAACUGGUGAGUAACACGUAGGUUAUCUACCCUCAAGACGGGGACAACCCAGGGAAACUUGGGCUAAUACCGGAUGUGAGCAACUUUUAGUUGUUUGAAAGGUGGCGUAAGCUGUCGCUUGGGGAUGAGCCUGCGUCCUAUUAGUUAGUUGGUGAGGUAACGGCUCACCUAGGCAAUGAUGGGUAGGCGGCCUUAACGGGUGGUCGCCCACACUGGGAUUGAGAUACGGCCCAGACUCCUACGGGAGGCAGCAGUCGAGAAUAGUCUACAAUGGUCGGAAGACUGAUAGUGCGACGCCGCGUGAACGAUGAAUCCCUUCGGGGUGUAAAGUUCUUUUAUAUGUGAGCAGUGCUUCUUAUAUUAACAGUAUGGGGAGAGAGAUAUUAGCAUAUGAAUAAGCAACGGCUAACUCCGUG
rnacentral:rRNA from 1 species